GUUUUGGUUCUGAUCGGAGAGUAAGUGGGUCUACCGGGUAGAGGUCAGUACUGGACCGUGUUUGAGCAGUGAGGCCUGUUAUUACAGCAGAUUGAAAAUGCGGACUGUGCUGCUGUUGGCCUGCCUGCUGGCCCUCAGCGUCACCCUGCCGGUGCACAAAAACAGAAUGAAGCGUUCCGACAGCUCAGAGGGAGGAGGG